GACGAACGCUGGCGGCGUGCUUAACACAUGCAAGUCGAACGGAAAGGCCCUGCUUUUGUGGGGUGCUCGAGUGGCGAACGGGUGAGUAACACGUGAGUAACCUGCCCUUGACUUUGGGAUAACUUCAGGAAACUGGGGCUAAUACCGGAUAGGAGCUCCUGCUGCAUGGUGGGGGUUGGAAAGUUUCGGCGGUUGGGGAUGGACUUGCGGCUUAUCAGCUUGUUGGUGGGGUAGUGGCUUACCAAGGCUUUGACGGGUAGCCGGCCUGAGAGGGUGACCGGCCACAUUGGGACUGAGAUACGGCCCAGACUCCUACGGGAGGCAGCAGUGGGGAAUAUUGCACAAUGGGCGGAAGCCUGAUGCAGUAACGCCGCGUGCGGGAUGACGGCCUUCGGGUUGUAAACCGCUUUCGCCUGUGACGAAGCGUGAGUGACGGUAAUGGGUAAAGAAGCACCGGCUAACUACGUG
rnacentral:rRNA from 1 species